CUUUCUCCCGUGAGGCUGGGCACGGAGAGGCCGCGACGGAGCGGAGCGGGGGAGAGCGGAGCGGGCCCGGCUGUUCCGCUCCGAACUGCCCGGCCCCGCUCCUGGCAGCAGGGCUGCCGGCCUUCCCCGUAGGGAGCUAAUUGAUGGCCCAUUAGGGAAACGGGUGCCGCCAGGUAAGGCUACAUCAAGCGGUGCACCUUGCAAUUUGUUUCUUCACCUGAAAAUCACCUUUCACCCCCAAAAACCUGGAGACCACCACCGCGCGUGGACGUUCGGGAAGAUAGUCGUCGUCUUUACUGUUGUUGGCCGGGCCUGUUCCCCUCCAGCCGCGAGCUGGUCUGCAGGAGCAAUGCCCACGUCUGUCUGUCUGUCUGUCUGUCCGUCCGCUGCUGGCCUGGGCUGCGUGUUACCUCCGUCCCCAUCCCUUCCCCCAGUCUCCACCAGCCAAACAAAGGGAGCGAGGAAAAAAGCAGCCCAGGAAGUGCAAAGUGGAAAGCGACCCUCUUCCUAUUUGACGACAGCGCCAAUUCCUCCGGGAUCCCACCUGAGAUUAAAGCCUGAAUUUCAAUAAAUCAGCUCUAAUGAAACCUCUGGCCCCGAAGAUGGGAGGGUUUGUCUUUCCCGUUCCGAAACGAGCGCAGAAACGAGGGGAGGCGGUGGGGGAAGAGGGAGUAAAUAUAGAAAAGGGUGUGAGAUUUUAAUCCCAGCGGUCUGAUUAGCAUCGUUAUGAAAUAAACCGUGCACAAACUGAUGUAUUUUGUCGUUCCUGCCUCUUUCCUGCUAUACUGAAAUAAUCGCAUUGUUUGUGCCAACAGUCUAGCAAGGCUACA